GACGAACGCUGGCGGCGUGCUUAAUACAUGCCAGUCGAACGGAAAGGCCCUGCUUUUGUGGGGUGCUCGAGUGGCGCACGCGUGAGUAACACGCGAGUAUCAUGCCCUUGUCUUUGGGAUAUCUUCUCGAAACUGGGGCUCUUAUCGGAUAGGAGCUCCUGAUGCAUGGUGGGGGUUGGAAAGUUUCGGCGGUUUGGGAUGGUUUCGCAGCUUAUCCGCUUGUUGGUCGGGUAGUGGCUUACCAAGCCUAUGACGGGUAGCCGGCCUUGGAGGUGGACCGGCGACAAUGGGACUGAGAGACGGAGCAGACGCCAACGUUACGCAGUAGUGGGGAGUAUGGCACAAUGGGCGGAAGCGUGAUGCAACAACGCCGCGAGCGGGAUGACGUCCUACUAGGUAAAAACCGCUUUCGCCGGAGACGAGGCGGGAUUGACGGUAAUGGGUAAAGAAGCACCGGCUAACUACGUG
rnacentral:rRNA from 1 species